rnacentral:rRNA from 1 species
UGGGGAAUUUUGGACAAUGGGGGAAACCCUGAUCCAGCCAUCCCGCGUGUGCGAUGAAGGCCUUCGGGUUGUAAAGCACUUUUGGCAGGAAAGAAACGUCAUGGGUUAAUACCCCGUGAAACUGACGGUACCUGCAGAAUAAGCACCGGCUAACUACGUGCCAGCAGCCGCGGUAAUACGUAGGGUGCAAGCGUUAAUCGGAAUUACUGGGCGUAAAGCGUGCGCAGGCGGUUCGGAAAGAAAGAUGUGAAAGCCCAGAGCUCAACUUUGGAACUGCAUUUUUAACUACCGGGCUAGAGUGUGUCAGAGGGAGGUGGAAUUCCGCGUGUAGCAGUGAAAUGCGUAGAUAUGCGUAGGAACACCGAUAGCGAAGGCAGCCUCCUGGGAUAACACUGACGGUCAUGCAGGAAGGCGUGGGGAGCAAACAGG